rnacentral:sRNA from 1 species
GCUGGGCAUGGUGGUGCAUGGCUGUAAUCCCAGCUUCUUGGGAAGCUGAGGCAGAAGGGUUGGUAAAUUCGAGAUCAGCCUGGGAAAUGUACAAAAUCCUGUCUCAA